rnacentral:rRNA from 1 species
AUCGGAUUACUGGGCGUAAGCGUGCGCAGGCGGUUUGGUAAGACAGGUGUGAAAUCCCCGGGCUUAACCUGGGAACUGCGCUUGUGACUGCCAGGCUAGAGUACGGCAGAGGGGGGUGGAAUUCCACGUGUAGCAGUGAAAUGCGUAGAGAUGUGGAGGAACACCGAUGGCGAAGGCAGCCCCCUGGGCCUGUACUGACGCUCAUGCACGAAAGCGUGGGGAGCAAACAGGAUUAGAUACCCUGGUAGUCCACGCCCUAAACGAUGUCGACUAGUUGUUCGUGGAGGUAACUCCGUGAGUAACGCAGCUAACGCGUGAAGUCGACCGCCUGGGGAGUACGGCCGCAAGGUUAAAACUCAAAGGAAUUGACGGGGACCCGCACAAGCGGUGGAUGAUGUGGAUUAAUUCGAUGCAACGCGAAAAACCUUACCUACCCUUGACUGC